GGGACCCACACAAGCAGUGGAUCACGUGGUUUAAUUCGACAAUAAACGGGGAACCUUACCCAGACUUGACAUCUAUCGAAUUCUUCAGAGAUGAAGAAGUGCCUUUAUUGGAGCGAUAAGACAGGUGCUGCAUGGUUGUCGUCAGCUCGUGCCUUGAGGUGUUCGGUUAAGUCCGUUAACGAGCGCAACCCAUGUCUUUAGUUAUUAUGUCUAAAGAGACUGCCUUGGUUAACAAGGAGGAAGGUGUGGAUGACGUCA
rnacentral:rRNA from 1 species